rnacentral:tRNA from 1 species
UGGGGUAGAGCUCAGUGUAGAACACCUGCUUAGCAUGCACGAUGUCCAGGUUCAAUUCCUAGUACCUCCA